UGCAGUCGAGCGGAUGAGUGGAGCUUGCUCCAUGAUUCAGCGGCGGACGGGUGAGUAAUGCCUAGGAAUCUGCCUGGUAGUGGGGGACAACGUUUCGAAAGGAACGCUAAUACCGCAUACGUCCUACGGGAGAAAGUGGGGGAUCUUCGGACCUCACGCUAUCAGAUGAGCCUAGGUCGGAUUAGCUAGUUGGUGAGGUAAAGGCUCACCAAGGCGACGAUCCGUAACUGGUCUGAGAGGAUGAUCAGUCACACUGGAACUGAGACACGGUCCAGACUCCUACGGGAGGCAGCAGUGGGGAAUAUUGGACAAUGGGCG
rnacentral:rRNA from 2 species